UACGUAGGGGGCGAGCGUUGUCCGGAGUUACUGGGCGUAAAGCGCACGCAGGCGGUCUGCUAAGUUUGGAGUGACAGUUGGUGGCUUAACUGCCAAAGUGCUUCGAAAACUGACAGACUUGGAGGGCUUCAGAGGGACACGGAAUCCGGGUGGAGUGGUGAAAUGCGUAGAGAUCCGGAGGAACACCAAAGGCGAAGGCAGUGUCCUGGGGAGUACCUGACGCUCAGGUGCGAAAGCCAGGGGAGCGAACGGG
rnacentral:rRNA from 1 species